UAAUAAGUGUUUUAUGGCCACUUUUUAAAUCCAUAUCCACCUUGUGUGCAAUGUCAGUCGAUCUUCUUCAUGGAGAUCGACCAAACAUCAACCUUUAUCUUUUAACUCUUUGUCUGAAAAAUAUUAUGAAUAAACAAUUCAAAAUA
rnacentral:misc_RNA from 1 species